UCUCUGCGGUCCCAGGAGGAGGCUGCAGACUCCUGGGGAGCAUGUCCAUCCCCAGUGCCCAGGACACUGGUGAGCAAUGGGCUGCAGAGUGAGACAGGAGUCGUAUCAUGAAGGACCUUGAAUAUUUUUGCUGAGGACCUCAGGCUCCAUCUUGUGUGAGAUGGGGAGCCACUGAAGGGUUUUGAGCAGGAGCAUGCCAUGGUCACACCUGUGCCUUAAACACGUCCCUCUGGCUGGCAAGGAGAGGGCGGGUGGUUGGGGGAGAGUCUGAAGGCAGAGAGAUGAGUUGGGGGCUGUGCAAUAAUCCAGGACUAGGCUGUAGCUAUGAGAGUGCUGGCAGGGGGGAGCGGACAGAAUGUGGGAUGUUUACUAGAUCCAGCUGACCAACUGUGGCGCUGGCAGCGGGUGAGGGAGAAAGGAGCAGAGACCCACUCUCAGGUUUCGGCCCAGUAGCUGGCUAGGUGUUCGUGCUGUGUGCAGAGACGGGGACCAACUACAGGAACUGGAUGGGGAGAAAUACUGGGCCUAGUUCUGGAGACAUGGACUUCGAGGUGUCCAAGGGACAUCCAGGUGGGAAUGCCUUGUAACUAAACAGAUGGGGGCGGGAGAAAAAGAUCUGAGCCAAUGGGAUGGAGCCAAGAGUCACGAGGUGGGGUCAAUGCCACAUGUGUGGCUGAACUUGCCCAAAGCGAAAGAGAAGGUCAAGGACAGAGCCUGGGAGAAGCUCGCCUGUGGUGGCUUGUGUGACUGCUCAGCAAAUACCACCCCCUUCUGUGGGGGGCACACUGGGGUUGGGGCUGCCCAUGGGACCUGGGGGCAGAUGUGAUGCUUGCAAGGAUUGGCUUGGCCUCUGGCACUCCUUUCCCUUACCCUGGAAAGAGCACACCAGGCAGCCGCUGCCCUGCAGACUGGGCCCCGGCACGAGAGACCCCCAGAGAAGACCUGAGCUGCACCCUGGAGCAGAGCCGCCCGGAUGCCUGCAGACCUGUGUGGGAGAAAUAAAUGGCUUUUAUUACAAGCCACUGAGAUUUGGGGCUGUUUGUUAUGUAACAUUGUAUCGGCAAUAGCUUGACUAAUAAAAUUUUAAGAGGAGGCUGGAGAAAAAGAAAUCCCGGAAAGGGUAACAGGAAGAAGAAUGGG
rnacentral:lncRNA from 1 species